CUGGCCUGUGGAUGCGGAGAGGGAGCCGGGCGGUGAAACGGCACGAGCCAGGGGCGGUGGCAGUGGUGGCGAUGGGCCGACGGGACAUCCCAGUGCCCCCUGCCAUCCAGCAGCCGGCCUCACCGAAGCCUGGCACCAGGAUGCUCUGCACCUCCCCAAGCCCACUCCAAGGCAGCAGAAACAGAGCUCUCAGCAGCCUGAAAGCGCUUUCUUAAUGGCUUAAUAAAAGCAAUUAACGCUGGCGACAGGCUGCGCAGUGGUGCUGGGGCCAGGCGGCAGCGCGGGGCGGCGGUCAGAGGAGGGGACUCUGCUCCGGAGAGCCCACAUGGCACUCGACACAGUGCCGACAUGUGCUGCUCAACCGUUCCCAGGACGCCUCUUAAAAAUGAUUCACUUUCGAGCACCCACGACAAGGUCCUGCAGCUGUGACAGCGUCUUGUGGUUGCCGAAAUAAGGUUAUGGGGCAGAAAAGAAAAGAAACAAGCUUCGGGACAGCAGCACGGAGGUAAAAAACAUCCGAAUAAAAAGACAACCAGGGCACAGAGCUACAAACCACAUGGGUUUUGGAAACAUCAACAUCCUUCCUGUUCAGGGGCCGGCUCCUGGAGGCCGAGCAAGAGGCCGAUAAAAGGAAACUCAGCCCUGACCUUUUCUGAGAAAUGUGUUUUUCCCCACUCAGGAAGAGCGGAGGGUUGUGUCGGAAGGAGGACAAGGGUGCCAGUCACCCACACGGGUUUUCGGGCUGUCCCGGUGAUUUGGGUGUGGAGUCCCGGCCCCCAGCGUCACCUGUCCCCAGCGCACAGCAAUCAAAGAUUUGUUGUUUUUUCUUCAACUACUUCCCUGACAGUGUGGGGCUGCUUGUUGGGUUAAGGAGCCCCAACACCUGGUGUACGGUGCUGCUGAAAAAGCUGCUGGGAGGAGCCCAGUGGGGAUGUCCCCAUAUUGGGGUGGCAGGGUCCCUCCAUGGGGCACCCCUGGCUUGUCUGCCUCACGUGGAGAUGAAGGGACCAUGAUGUUGGAAGCUGGCUGGGGUCAGCCAGCAGCCACAAGGACCCAGCGCAGCCGGUUGGUUCCUCAUCCAUCAUCUCCAAGCACCUGCUCGGGGAUCCUGGUUCCCACAAAGCCCCAGCACAGGCGGGACCACAGCUCGUGUCUCACCGACCUGCACUCCGUGCCACCCGCCAAAAUUCCCACCCCCUGACUGCACUUCCAGCCUUUUUGUGUAUUUGCCCUUGCAGCUGGACAAAUGAGAUGCCAGAAAGCAGAGACACAAAGUCCGACCUGCUUUGCUACGUCUGGAAGUGCCCCCGGCCCCGCUCCCGCCUGCGCCCCCAGCUCUUGGGGAGGCGGUCGGGUGCCUGGGGAUGCUCGGGACGGGGAUGCGGCUGGUGGCGGAUUUGGGUAUCUCACCAGAGGGAGGGUGCGGGAAAGUGAAACAUGGGUGAAACAUGGGCCUGCAGGGCCAGCAUGGGACUGUGG